UACGUAGGGGGCAAGCGUUGUCCGGAAUUAUUGGGCGUAAAGCGCGCGUAGGCGGCUCGGUAAGUCUGCUGUGAAAGUCCAAGGCUCAACCCUGGAAAGCCGGUGGAUACUGUCGAGCUCGAGUCCGGAAGAGGCGAGUGGAAUUCCUGGUGUAGCGGUGAAAUGCGCAGAUAUCAGGAGGAACACCAAUGGCGAAGGCAGCUCGCUGGGACGGUACUGACGCUGAGACGCGAAAGCGUGGGGAGCAAACAGG
rnacentral:rRNA from 1 species